UAAAAAUUAUUCCAUAAAUUUAGCAUUCGCAAUCGAUGGUAAAUAAAUAGUUUUCUCAAUUUAGACUAUUAAAUUACUGUUAAUAGAAAUAGAUUGAGAAUUCUGACAAGUAUCAAACAUUCACUAUGUUUUGAUCUAAAAAAAUAUAUAUUUUUCAAAGGUCAUUCUGACUAACUACUCUUGUUAACAAUUCAAUUCAAUAACUGCAUGAAACCAGAAAAAUAAAUGUAUUUUUUUAUGAAAUUUUUUCACACUAUAAAAACCAGCCUGCAACAGGAAUCAAAUAAAAUAAAGAUGGUUUUUAACAAACACUCAAUGUUCUGAUGACUGAAAUCUUAGUAUGUGCGAUGCGAAUGUGAACGACAUUAUUCAUUUUAAAUUGGUUAUUAAUCAACUUUUGAUGUACGUCGUAUUAAUAAUGAGAUUAUUAUCCAACUUUUGACGACAACACAUAUAAUACAUCAUAAUCAAAUGACAAAAUAUCAGAAGAACACUAAUAUUUGAUGAUUGAUUGCUUGGUGAUGAAUGAUUUAGGUUCUGCUAUUGAUGAUGAUUGAAGACAUUAAUGCUUUAUUAAUAAGAUAUGCCUGUUGUCACACUUGGUUGGAAAAUACAUCUAUUCUCAUCAGGACUGCUGGUCUAAAUUUGAUUAAUCAAAAUACCACCUCUCAUUUUAUUAGGUUCUCUUGUGGAUUAAAAACUACUACUUGGGUAGUAAGGUUAACCAGUUAACAUCAACGUCUAAUUGAUGCCAAUUAUAAUUGUAUACCAACCAUUCAUUAGGUGUUGUAAAUAAAUUUUUGUUAAGUACGGACUCUACUGGAUUUAUAUAUAUAGGAAAUUUAGGAUUCGGGAUUUAGGAAGAGUAUUUGGAAGGACCCUACCAUUGGUAAGAAUAUUUUAGUAUUGUUUGUAUAUUAAUCAAUAAAUGAAAUAAAAUACUUAAAUAGA